rnacentral:rRNA from 1 species
GAUGAACGCUGGCGGCGUGCCUAAUACAUGCAAGUCGAACGGAACUUCUUUAUCACCGAGUGCUUGCACUCACCGAUAAAGAGUUGAGUGGCGAACGGGUGAGUAACACGUGGGCAACCUGCCCAAAAGAGGGGGAUAACACUUGGAAACAGGUGCUAAUACCGCAUAACCAUAGUUACCGCAUGGUAACUAUGUAAAAGGUGGCUAUACUACCGCUUUUGGAUGGGCCCGCGGCGCAUUAGCUAGUUGGUAGGGUAAAGGCUUACCAAGGCAAUGAUGCGUAGCCGAAUUGAGAGGUUGAUCGGCCACAUUGGGACUGAGACACGGCCCAAACUCCUACGGGAGGCAGCAGUAGGGAAUCUUCCACAAUGGGCGAAAGCCUGAUGGAGCAACGCCGCGUGGGUGAAGAAGGUCUUCGGAUCGUAAAACCCUGUUGUUAGAGAAGAAAGUGCGUGAGAGUAACUGUUCACGUUUCGACGGUAUCUAACCAGAAAGCCACGGCUAACUACGUG